UGGACUACUCGGGUAUCUAAUCCGGUUUGCUCCCCCAGCUUUCAUCCCUCACCGUCGAGCGCGUUCUGGCAAGCCGCCUUCGCCACUGGUGGUCUUCAAUGGAUCAGAGGAUUUUACCCCUACCCACUGAGUACCGCUUGCCUCUCCCGCCUCCUAGCCUUGUAGUAUCCUCCGCAGCCCAUCUGUUAAGCAGCUGGAUUUAACGGAAGACUUGCAAGACCGGCUACGGAUGCUUUAGGCCCAAUAAUCGUCCCGACCACUCGGGGUGCUGGUAUUACCGCGGCUGCUGGCACU
rnacentral:misc_RNA from 1 species